rnacentral:rRNA from 1 species
AGAGUUUGAUCAUGGCUCAGGACGAACGCUGGCGGCGUGCUUAACACAUGCAAGUCGAACGAUGAAGCCUAGCUUGCUAGGUGGAUUAGUGGCGAACGGGUGAGUAAUACGUGAGUGACCUACCUUUGACUCUGGGAUAAGCCUGGGAAACUGGGUCUAAUACCGGAUACGACCAAUCUCCGCAUGGGGUGUUGGUGGAAAGCGUUAUGGAGUGGUUUUAGAUGGGCUCACGGCCUAUCAGCUUGUUGGUGAGGUAAUGGCUUACCAAGGCGACGACGGGUAGCCGGCCUGAGAGGGUGACCGGCCACACUGGGACUGAGACACGGCCCAGACUCCUACGGGAGGCAGCAGUGGGGAAUAUUGCACAAUGGGCGCAAGCCUGAUGCAGCGACGCCGCGUGAGGGAUGACGGCCUUCGGGUUGUAAACCUCUGUUAGCAUCGAAGAAGCGAAAGUGACGGUAGGUGCAGAGAAAGCGCCGGCUAACUACGUGCCAGCAGCCGCGGUAAUACGUAGGGCGCGAGCGUUGUCCGGAAUUAUUGGGCGUAAAGAGCUUGUAGGCGGUUGGUCGCGUCUGCUGUGAAAGGCUGGGGCUUAACCCUGGUUUUGCAGUGGGUACGGGCUAACUAGAGUGCAGUAGGGGAGACUGGAAUUCCUGGUGUAGCGGUGGAAUGCGCAGAUAUCAGGAGGAACACCGAUGGCGAAGGCAGGUCUCUGGGCUGUAACUGACGCUGAGAAGCGAAAGCAUGGGGAGCGAACAGGAUUAGAUACCCUGGUAGUCCAUGCCGUAAACGUUGGGCACUAGGUGUGGGGGACAUUCCACGUUUUCCGCGCCGUAGCUAACGCAUUAAGUGCCCCGCCUGGGGAGUACGGCCGCAAGGCUAAAACUCAAAGAAAUUGACGGGGGCCC